rnacentral:rRNA from 1 species
UACGUAUGGGGCAAGCGUUAUCCGGAUUUACUGGGUGUAAAGGGAGCGCAGGCGGCUUGGCAAGUCUGAUGUGAAAGGCUGGGGCUCAACCCCAGGACUGCAUUGGAAACUGUUAGGCUGGAGUGUCGGAGAGGUAAGCGGAAUUCCUAGUGUAGCGGUGAAAUGCGUAGAUAUUAGGAGGAACACCAGUGGCGAAGGCGGCUUACUGGACGACAACUGACGCUGAGGCUCGAAAGCGUGGGGAGCAAACA